rnacentral:rRNA from 1 species
AGAGUUUGAUCCUGGCUCAGAUUGAACGCUGGCGGCAUGCCUUACACAUGCAAGUCGAACGGCAGCACGGGCUUCGGUCUGGUGGCGAGUGGCGAACGGGUGAGUAAUGUAUCGGAACGUACCUUUCAGUGGGGGAUAACGUAGCGAAAGUUACGCUAAUACCGCAUAUUCUGUGAGCAGGAAAGCAGGGGAUCGCAAGACCUUGCCUGAUUGAGCGGCCGAUAUCAGAUUAGCUAGUUGGUGGGGUAAAGGCCUACCAAGGCUACGAUCUGUAGCGGGUCUGAGAGGAUGAUCCGCCACACUGGAACUGAGACACGGUCCAGACUCCUACGGGAGGCAGCAGUGGGGAAUUUUGGACAAUGGGGGCAACCCUGAUCCAGCCAUGCCGCGUGAGUGAAGAAGGCCUUCGGGUU